rnacentral:rRNA from 1 species
AUGUUUAUUUGUGAUUAUGAUCAGGACUGCGCUUAUUCUGAAAGUACAACAAGGAAAGGGCCAGCAAGAAAAUUAGCCAAUAAUUGGUUGACUGGUUUAACCCUAGGGAGAAGGUGGCUAAGAGGGCUUCUGAAAAGGGCCCAGGCUGAGGCUGAGGGGGAAACCGUUGAGUCCAAGAAGCUAAUUGCUCUGAAAUAUGGUCUUAGCCAUGUCACUUACCUCAUCGAGCAGAGCAACCCUCAGCUGGUCCAUGAUAUUGACCUGGUUGUGGUUCCCAGCCCUGUGCAGGAAGUUGGGAGGUCCCAUACUGCAUUGUUAAGGGAAAAUCACACCUUGGAUUGUCCACUUGUUGUUACCCUUCUAACAUCUCCAAUGUCCGCUAUUCUGCAGGCUAACUUCAAUGACAAGUUCUACGAGGUCAGGAAGAAGCGGGAGGUGGUGUUUUGUGAAGCUCGCCGUUUCAGGGGCUGUGCAGGACAAAAUGCUAUGGAUCCAGAGGAGUGGGAGGGGAGAGUUUAUCAACAACACAUCAAGGAGAAAGCGUGA